ACGCCUCAGCCUGCUGAGCCUUGGGCACACAUGUGACUUCAGAGUAAGCAUUUGGAAGAACUUUUAACAUCUACUGGCAUAUGAUGCUUGCCAGGCUCUUUACAUUUGUGACUCUAAUCCUCUGAACAGUCCUGAAAGGAUCUCACCAUGUUGCCCAGGCUGAUCUAAAACUUGUGUAGCUACAUUCAUCUUGCAGCUGGGACUACAGAUGUGCACUGCCAUGCCUGGAUUACAGUUUUUUUUUUAAAUUAAAAGCCUAACUAUAUAUCUUGGAAUAGCAACUUUACCUUUUUAUUUCUAAAAGAUGGUAAGAUUAUUCCGUAGUAUAAUUUAGUAAACGAUCAUUAAAGAUUUUUGUUAGCACAUAUGAUCCAGAGGAUAAAGGCUGCACUCUGAAACCUUAGGCAUUGCAAUAAGCACAGAUGGGAGAUGUUUCAGAGCAGACAGACAGAUUGAUGCUUAGAACCUCAGACCUGAAUCAAGCUGCAACCUCCAUGUGACGUGUGAACUUGGCCACCUUGGAUGGACAAAAUCUUUACAAGGAGGAGUAGAGGAAACUGCCCCCAAGGAAAGGAACAGCAAAACCUCCUCAGGAAAGACCACUCACCAGGCAUGAAGACUUUGCUAAUGACAAUGAUAAAAACGUCUCUGUAUUCCCUCUGCAAACAAGGACAGAGGUAACAACCAACCAGCCACGUCUGUGACUGAGACUGUUUAACCAUGUGUACAUUUCACCCCUGCCCUCUGUUUUAAACCUCGGUCCUCUAAUGAACAGCUUCCAGAUCUGUUUGUGUUCCUUAGGAGCCUGACUUAGACAUGGCUGGAGCAGGAAGGCAGGCUUUAAUGAUAUAUCAUCAGCUGGGCACUAAGCAGUAGACUAACAAGUGCAUCUUUGCGUUAUCCUUUUAAAAUUAUAUGUUGACGUUACAUGACCAACUAUAUGAACUUUUUCUUUGCCUGGUUUGACUGAUUAAUUUUAAUAAAUCAGCUAAUUACUGAAAGGUACUGUGAUACACUCAAUUUACCGAGCCAAGUGGAAGAGUAACAAAAUUAUUACCUGUCUGUGAUUUACUAUUCUCACCCACAAAGCUAGCUGGCAGAAAGAGCAGCUUUGGGAUUAGGGGAGAAGAAACUGGUGUCAAUAACAGGUAUUGGAAAGAAAGGAAGAGAGGAGAAGGGGCAAAAAAGUCGGCUGUUAGUAGGGCACAAGUGGCUCGGAAAGGGGAAGCAGAGAU